CUGUGGCCAUGACAGGAAAACAAAAAAAGAAAGCAGCCACAGUCAGGCAAGGUAAAGACCCAAAGUCUGCAAAGACCAACUGCAGCAGUCAGUGGAGUAACUCCAGGUCCUCUCGACCUCAGCAGGAACGAGAUCUCCCCUUGCAGGCCCUGCGGCAUGGCCCAGGCUGGCUGCCACAUGCCCCCACUGCUCUGGGGCUCCAGGACUUUAGUGGGAUAGUGGCAUUGUCUCCAACUCCAGGGAUCACUACAGUAAACCUGUUUUGGCAGCCAAGCUCGAGACUCACCAACACCAUCAUGCAGAUGGAGCAAAAGGCAGAGAGUGGGUGGAGGGGGCACGUUUGUCCCAGGCUCCUGCAGACCCCUCCGUGCCUGGGCCGUACGCUGCAAGCGUCAACACAGCUCACAGGAGAGAGUUCUGUCAGCAGGGAGAGAUACUGCUGGAUCCUUUAUUUUUAUAAUGUCUGUGUGCUCGCUAGAAGCGAGCAGUCCCUCUGUGCCUUUGCCCUGGCAGCUCUCUUUGUAUCCAACUCAGCCCCAAUGCACUUUUCCAGGGCUUCUCGUGACUAACAGCAGCAGCUGGCAUUCCAGUUAUACCAUUUUUCUCAAGAUAGUUCAGCUCAGGUUUUUUUUUUUAAUACUAUGGUUAAUGCUGUUACUGUUCUGUCUUUUGCUUUGUCUGUUAACAUGCCUGCCAAAUUCCUACUGACCUUUCAACGUACCCAUGUUGUCGAACCACAGCAGCAUGCAAGAUGUAAUCUAGGACACAUCCAGCACAUGCUCCUAUCUGCUCACCUGUGUCAGAGCUCACCAGAUGAGCAUUCCCUGGUGCCCUCAGAGUAGGAAACUUGGGAGCUGACAAAAGUCCUCACCACCACAGAGUGGGGAAGUGGUGUUUAUAUACUACUUCAGCUGACACUGGGGGCAGCUGGUCUGAGCCCAUGUUGCUGGACAGUGCAAAGAGGGGGCAGAGACACUCGGGCGCAUCCACUUUUCUUGUCAACGAAAUGUAUAAGACGACUCACAGGACAUCAUUCUUCAAUAGCCACAGAAAAAUGUCUUGUAUAUCACUAGUGGCAGAAGGAGAAGGACCUCUCAAGGCAUCUGUUCAAACAUGCAUGAGCCCCAGGGUGCGGGAUGCUCCCCACAGGAACAGGUGCAUCCUGCUCCACGGGUCCAUGGAUCUGUCCCCAAGAUCUGAAGUCUCUCCCCUAUCCUAUGUGGGCAUCUCCAUCUAUGGAGGAGGAUGGCAGGGUCAACAGUAUCUCUUUGCCUGAUCAGGGGGCUGAGAAUCCUCCCCAGGCACCACUGAUGCAAGCACUACAGUAUGGGAAAUGCAGAGCCUGGUUUUCACAGACGGAUGGAAAGGUCAGUCAUCCUUUUCAAGCACUAACAACCUGGGGCAGAAUCUCAGGGACUUCUUUAUUUUUAUGUGAACUUCUCAUCUGAAACUAGAAAAAAACAAACAAACAAAAACCAACCAAACAAAAUAAAACCACCCAAACCCAACCCACACCUGGGUCUUUAAUCUCACUCCCUGUUUCCUGGAAAUAAUGGGUUGAAUUCUCAGACUAAGUUGCAGAUUUUGGAUUCCGAAGGUGGCAAAUUUCCAGCAAACACACAUCUCCUGUCUAAAGGGACAUCAGCAUCUCCUCAGCUGGAGAAGGUAUGAGUAGGGGUAAAUUCCACAGACUGCAAGGAGUACUGGGUUCAUCCUGAAUUCCAUGAAAAUCCCUUUCACCAUAUUCCAAAUCAUGAACAAUCACUGUAUGCCAAAAUCACCACAUUCUAAAUUUCACCAAAAUUCCCUUUAACCAAAGGGUCUUAAAGAAUGCUGUGAAAAAUGUUGUCUGGAAGUUUCAAAUAUAUUCAUUUCAGAUUUAGUCCAUCAAUGUUCUCAAUGAGCAAUACAGAAUAUACUUGACUGAUAUUUCAACCCAGGCAUCACAGGUUCCAAUACUUUGCCUUGAAGUCCUAUCAGAAAUAAGACACUUAUUUAAGAAUGGCUAGCAAAACCUUUGGUUUUCUUGCUUAUCUGACCUGCUUAGUGCAUCCAAAGUUUUACAGCAAUCGGGUCAUGUAAGAGCACAGGCUUGGGAGGUCUCCUGGCUCAUAUAUAACCAGAUCAAUAAACCACAUGCCCAAUUCACUGGACACCAGACUAUUUUGAAGCAAAGCAAGUCACAAGCCUUUCAGCAGACUCCCACUUUGCCUUUAUGUAGCUGAGCAGACUUUCUACAUCAGCCAUAUUUUGGAGAUAGCUGUGGACAAUUACUAUUUUCUAUUAGGGUUAAAAUAUCUUCCCAGUGGGCCAAACUUAUAGGUAUUACUAGAAAAUGAAAGUAUAAUUCUGUUUAAGACUAGAAUUACAUGAAUAAAAAAGGAUCUGUUGCUGGAGCUUCUAACACAAUUCACACAAACAGCCAACAGAAGAAAAC